UGGGGCUCAGACUGAAGCCGCUGUCUUCUCCGGGCCCGGGCGCUCCGGCAGCAGGGGGCGCUGUCCCUGCUCUGGUGACCUCGGCUUCUGGGCGCCCUCAGCUGUCUGCGGUCCUGCUGGAUCCUGUGAGCCCAAGCUUGCUUCCUGAGAGCUGCAGUUUACAAGCUUCCUACUAAUGCAAUGCAUACCUUGGGAGGCAGCAGGUGAUGGAUGAGACCCCUGAUAUCCUGCCACUCAUAUAAUUGUUUUUGCAAAGCUGGAUUUUGGUGGAAGCUUUGAAAACAGCAAGAACCACAUAAUCAUCAACAUGCGACCAGAAAUGGAGGCAGCACCUGGGAAAGAUUGAGCAGCUCUGCAGAACACACCAGCAGGGCAUCUUGAUACCAGAACAUGAGGACACUGCAAAGAACAAAGCACUCUACUGAGCUUUUAUGAGAUCACAAAAUCAGGAGAACAUAUAAGAAUAUGUACAGCACCUCCAUCUGCACAGAAAAUAUAGAAACACGUGAAAACAGUAAUAGAAGAAUUCUGCAAGAAAAAUUACAUUUAUCUUGUCAAUCUCUUAGGAAAUCAUAGCAAAUGGAAGAGAGAGGUGGAGUCUAAAGGCAUUAAAAUUACUCAUUGGUAUACUUUUCUAUUUCUUUAAGAUUUUGUAAUUUUCAUCGUAGAGAUCUUUAACUUUCUUGGUUAAGUUUAUUCCAAGGUAUUUGAUUGUUUUUGUGGCUAUUGUGAAUGGGAUUGAUCUUAGAAGUUAUUUCUCAGCCGUGGCAUUGCCUGUAUAUUCAAAGGCUGUUGAUGUUUGUGCAUUGAUUUUAUAUCCUGCCACAUUGCCAAACUCUUCUAUGAGUUCCAAUAGUCUCUUAGUAGAGUUCUUUGGGUCCCCUAAACAAAGAAUCAUAUCAUCUGCAAAAAGGGAUAGUUUGAGUUCUUCCUUCCCAAUUUGUAUCCCUUUAAUUUCUUUUUCUUGCCUAAUAGCUCUGGCUAGAACCUCCAGAACUAUAUUGAAUAGCAGUGGUGAGAGUGGGCAUCCCUAUCUGGUACCAGGUCUCAGUGGAAAUGCUUCCAGCUUUUCCCUAUUCAAUAGGAUGUUGGCUGUGGGUUUUUCAUAGAUUGCUUUGAUUGUAUUGAGGAAUGUUCCUUCCAAACCCAGUUUGCUUAGAGUUUUCAUCAUGAAAGGGUGUUGUAUUUUAUCAAAUGCUUUCUCCGCAUCUAUUGAGAUAAUCAUAUGGUUUUUCUUCUGCAGUCUGUUAAUGUGGUGUAUCACAUUGAUUGUUUUGCACACAUUAAACCAUCCCUGCAUACCAGGGAUAAAUCCCACUUGGUCUGGGUGGAUGAUCUUUCUGAUGUGUUGUUGCAUUCUAUUGGUGAGAAUUUUAUUGAGGAUUUUUGCAUCUAUGUUCAUCAGGGAUAUUGGUCUAUAAUUUUCUUUCAAUGCUGCAUCUUUUACAGGCUUAGGGAUUAAGGUGAUACUGGUUUCGUAGAAAGAAUUUGGGAGGAUUCCCUCGUUUUCAAUUGUUCUGAAUAAUUUGAGAAGAAUUGGAGUUAGUUCUUCUAUAAAUGUCUGAUAGAAUUCAGCAGAGAAUCCAUCUGGUCCUGGGCUUUUCUUUGUUGGGAGGGCUUUCACUACUGUUUCAAUUUCUGUCUCAGUUAUGGGUCUAUUUAGGUUUUCUAUGUCUUCAUGGUUCAAUUUAGGUAGAUUGCAUGUGUCCAGGAAUCUAUCCAUUUUUGUUCAAUUUCCCUGUUUGCUGACAUAAAACUCUUUGUAGUAAUUUCUGAUGAUUCUUUUUAUUUCUGUGGUGUCUGUUGUUACAUUUCAUUUUUCAUCUCUGAUUUAUGGAUUUGGGUCGUUUCUUUUUUUAGUUAGUUGGGCCAAUGGUGUGUCAAUUUUAUUUAUUUUUUCAAAAAACCAGCUCUUCGUUUGGCUGAUUUUUUGUAAUCUUCCAUGCUCAUGCAUUGGAAGAAUCAAUAUCAUCAAAAUGUCCAUUCUCCCAAAAGCAAUUUAUAGAUUCAAUGCCAUACCAAUCAAAAUACCAAAGACAUUCUUCUCAGAUCUAGAAAAAAAUGAUGCUAAAAUUCAAAUGGAGACACAGGAAACCUCGAAUAGCUAAAGCAAUCUUGUACAACAAAAACAAAGCUGGAGGCAUCACAAUACCAGAUUUCAGGACAUACUACAAGGCAAUUGUAAUCAAAACAGCAUGGUACUGGUACAGAAACAGAUGGAUAGACCAAUGGAAUAGAAUAGAAACACUCAGAUCUGGCUGAAGAGCCCAUGAGAGUAUUUUAGGCAUGGAAAGCCAAAACAUACUGGCAAAAAAAGAGCUAAAUGAAAGAUCUCUGCGAGUGAGAUCCCAGUGGAAAACACAGGCCAUCAAAGAAGGAGGUACCUUUCUCUGAAGGGAGGAGAGAACUUCCACUUUGACUAUGACCCUGUCUAAAUAAGAUCAGAGUUGGUGAGCUUAAAUGUCCUCCAUAGCCUUGGGAACUCAUGAGAAGAGCCUAGGCAGAUUUCUGACACCAUAAACAAGAGUGUCAAUUUGUUAAGUCAACAACAAGAGUCACUGUGCACUUACUCCCCAUGUAGGAUCUCUGUCCUUAAUGUGUUGUAUUAUGUGAAUUAAUGCUAUAACUAGUACUCAAACUGUACUUUAUACUUUGUGUUUCUGUGUGGAUGCAAACUAUUGACAUAUUUACCUAGUAUAUACUAAAUUGAGCUUCUGUAUAUAAAUAUAAUUGAAAAUGAAUCUUGAUGUGAAUGGAAUGGGAGAGUAAGCAGGAGAUGGGAGGGUUGCAAGUGUGAGGGAAGUUAUUGGGGGGAAAAAGCCAUUGUAGUCCAUAAGCUGUACUUUGGAAAUUUAUAUUAAUUAAAUAAAAGUUAAAAUAAAAUUACUCAUUGAUGCUGGCACUGUGGCAUAUCAGAUAAAGCCGCUGCCUUCAGUCUUGGCAUCCCACAUGGGCACCGGUUUGAGUCCCAGCUGCUCCACUUCUGAUUCAGCUCUCUGCUAUGGCCUGGGAAAUCAGUGGAAGAUGGUCCAAGUCCUUGGGCCCCUGCACCCAUGUGGAAGACCUGGAAGAAACUCCUGGAUCCUGGAUUUGGAUCAGUGCAGCUCCAGCUGUUCUGUCAAUUGGGGAGUGAGCUAGUGAAUGGAAGGCCUCUCUCUCUCUCUGCCUCUCAUCUCUCUCUGUAACUCUGACUUUCAAAUAAAUAAAUAAGUCUUUUUAAAAAAUAAUCAUUGAUGAACUCCAUUGAUUAUUAAUUGAUUAACUCCAUUGAUUUUAAAUUUAAGAAUAGAUCUUGAAACUCUAAAUUAAACUGAUACAUAAUAGAAAACUUCAUCAUAUAUUAAAUGACAUCCCAAAUAUUUACCCAGAAGUAGAAAGUAGAAUAAUUGAGUGUUCUAAUCCCUAGAAUUUUUUAAAUAUCUUUUUAUUUAUUUGCAAGUCAGAGUUACAUGGAGAAGGAGAGGCAGAUAGAUGUCUUCUGUCUCCUGGUUCACUGCCCAGUUGGCCAAAACAGCUGGAGCUGAGCUGAUUCAAAGCCAGGAGCCAGGAGACUCCUCCACAUCUUCCCAUGUGGGUUUCAGGGGCCCAAGAACUUGAGCCAUCCUCCACUGCUUCUUCAGGCAAUAGCAGAGAGCUUGACCAGAAGUGGAACAGCUGGGACUUGAACAGGCACACAUAUGGGUUGCUGGAACUACAGGCAGGGUCUUUACCCGCUAUGCCAUAGCUCUGACCUCCUGAUCCCUAGAAUUAUAAGGUUAAUAUCCUUUUAAUAUAUUAAUUAGUAAGUUUAACUUAUCUGGACAUGUGUUUAAUACUUUUAUAAAUUAUUUAUUGGAAAUAAUGUUUACUUAUUUGACUCUUACCACUGGAAUAAAAG